AGCGGGGUGGGGAAGCCAGGUUAUCCCGGCGGGCUCAUAACCCGCAGAGCGGUUUCUGCCAAUGUUAUUGAUAUUGGUAGUCGUAAGUUCAAAUCAACUCCCCGCUA
rnacentral:tRNA from 1 species